rnacentral:rRNA from 1 species
GACGAACGCUGGCGGCGUGCUUAACACAUGCAAGUCGAGCGGUAAGGCCCUUUCGGGGGUACACGAGCGGCGAACGGGUGAGUAACACGUGGGUGACCUGCCCUCAGCUCUGGGAUAAGCCUGGGAAACCGGGUCUAAUACCGGAUAUGACUCCAUGACGCAUGUUGUGGGGUGGAAAGCCUUGUGCGGCUCAGGAUGGGCCCGCGGCCUAUCAGCUUGUUGGUGGGGUGAUGGCCUACCAAGGCGACGACGGGU